AAGCCAGCCUCCAAGAACAGCUUUUCCCAUUCUUGGACACUUCUCUCUUUUCCAUCAGCCACAACCAUCAUCAGCAUGUCGAAAAGGAGCUUUGUUUCGGUUAGUUCCUUCUCAUCUUUCUUCUCAUCUAUCACCACAUCUACUAUAAUCACCUUUCCUCCCUUUUCUUUGCUCGAAAUAGCUUCUUUGCAUUUCUUCAAUAUCUUCAAGCAAUCCUCAUCACUCCAACCAUGAAAAAUUAACUGCCAAAAAUUGAUCCAGCAUUAGCUAACUGAGAACGUUGGCUUCAUGUAAACGUUUAUGCAAGAUAAUUAAACAGAUAAUCAAUUUCUUAGAUGGAGAGUAAUUUUUGAAUGUAGAGAGCAGCUUAUACCUUAAGUAUGACGGCAUCUGCAGAAGGGAUAUGUUGAAACAUAUCUCCUCCAACAUAAUUAAGGUUUUUGGUGCUUUCCAAGUUGGUAAUGACUUGGGGAAGCUCAAGAACCGUGCAAUUCAUGUGAGGGAAUGCCUCGGUUAUGAUCCUGGAAAGUGAACCGGUACCACCUCCUACAUCGACCAUUGAAUUCAACCCCUCAAAAAUUGGCUUGCAGUCUCUAAUAACCAUGUUCAUCAUCUGAGAAUCACAGGCCAUUGCUUCAUUGAAAAGACGGUUGAGUUCAGGAUUUUGGUUAUGGUACUCCCAAAAUGCCAUCCCAUAUGCAUGCUCAAAUGCAGUAGGCUCAUUUC
rnacentral:lncRNA from 1 species